rnacentral:rRNA from 1 species
UACGUAGGGUGCAAGCGUUGUCCGGAAUUAUUGGGCGUAAAGAGCUCGUAGGCGGUUUGUCGCGUCUGCUGUGAAAACUGGAGGCUCAACCUCCAGCCUGCAGUGGGUACGGGCAGACUAGAGUGCGGUAGGGGAGAUUGGAAUUCCUGGUGUAGCGGUGGAAUGCGCAGAUAUCAGGAGGAACACCGAUGGCGAAGGCAGAUCUCUGGGCCAUUACUGACGCUGAGGAGCGAAAGCGUGGGGAGCGAACAGG